rnacentral:misc_RNA from 1 species
AACGCACAUUGCGCUCUCUGGUAUUCCGGAGAGCAUGCUUGUUUGAGUAUCAGUAAACACCUCAAUUUCAAGAUUUUUUUAUUUUGAAAUUGGACUUGAGCAUAUCCCAACGUGUAUUUAAUUACAUGGAGGGUUGCUUCAAAUGCAGGUGCAGCCGAUCAUUCUUCUGGGCUAAAAGCAUUAUCUAGUUAGUCCCGUAAAACGGAUUAUUCAUUUUAUUGCUGCAGCUUACCUUUAUAAAAGGAAGACAUGGUCAUUGUGCUGACUGAUGCAGGAUUUCUCAGAGGGUCUGCAAAGACUUUUUGAAAACUCGAUCUCAAAUCAAGUAAGACUACCCGCUGAACUUAA